rnacentral:rRNA from 1 species
UACAGAGGGUGCGAGCGUUAAUCGGAAUUACUGGGCGUAAAGCGCACGUUAGGCGGCUUGGUAUGUCGGGUGUGAAAUCCCCGGGCUCAACCUGGGAACUGCAUCCGAAACUGCCUUGCUCGAGUAUGGGAGAGGGAAGUGGAAUUUCCGGUGUAGCGGUGAAAUGCGUAGAUAUCGGAAGGAACAUCAGUGGCGAAGGCGACUUCCUGGACCAAUACUGACGCUGAGGUGCGAAAGCGAUGGG